rnacentral:rRNA from 1 species
GUCGAGCGGGUAGAGAGGAGCUUGCUCCUCUUGAGAGCGGCGGACGGGUGAGUAAUGCCUAGGAAUCUGCCUGGUAGUGGGGGAUAACGUUCGGAAACGGACGCUAAUACCGCAUACGUCCUACGGGAGAAAGCAGGGGACCUUCGGGCCUUGCGCUAUCAGAUGAGCCUAGGUCGGAUUAGCUAGUUGGUGAGGUAAUGGCUCACCAAGGCGACGAUCCGUAACUGGUCUGAGAGGAUGAUCAGUCACACUGGAACUGAGACACGGUCCAGACUCCUACGGGAGGCAGCAGUGGGGAAUAUUGGACAAUGGGCGAAAGCCUGAUCCAGCCAUGCCGCGUGUGUGAAGAAGGUCUUCGGAUUGUAAAGCACUUUAAGUUGGGAGGAAGGGCAGUAAAUUAAUACUUUGCUGUUUUGACGUUACCGACAGAAUAAGCACCGGCUAACUCUGUGCCAGCAGCCGCGGUAAU